rnacentral:rRNA from 1 species
GACGAACGCUGGCGGCGUGCUUAACACAUGCAAGUCGAGCGGUAAGGCCCUUUCGGGGGUACACGAGCGGCGAACGGGUGAGUAACACGUGGGUGACCUGCCCUCAGCUCUGGGAUAAGCCUGGGAAACCGGGUCUAAUACCGGAUAUGACUCCAUGACGCAUGUUGUGGGGUGGAAAGCCUUGUGCGGCUGAGGAUGGGCCCGCGGCCUAUCAGCUUGUUGGUGGGGUGANGGCCUACCGAGGCGACGACGGGUAGCCGGCCUGAGAGGGCGACCGGCCACACUGGGACUGAGACACGGCCCAGACUCCUACGGGAGGCAGCAGUGGGGAAUCUUGCGCAAGUGGGACGAAAGCCUGACGCAGCGACGCCGCGUGAGGGAUGACGGCCU